CUUGCCCGCUGGCGGCAGGCCUAACACAUGCAAGUCGAGCGGAUGAAGGGAGCUUGCUCCUGGAUUCAGCGGCGGACGGGUGAGUAAUGCCUAGGAAUCUGCCUGGUAGUGGGGGAUAACGUCCGGAAACGGGCGCUAAUACCGCAUACGUCCUGAGGGAGAAAGUGGGGGAUCUUCGGACCUCACGCUAUCAGAUGAGCCUAGGUCGGAUUAGCUAGUUGGUGGGGUAAAGGCCUACCAAGGCGACGAUCCGUAACUGGUCUGAGAGGAUGAUCAGUCACACUGGAACUGAGACACGGUCCAGACUCCUACGGGAGGCAGCAGUGGGGAAUAUUGGACAAUGGGCGAAAGCCUGAUCCAGCCAUGCCGCGUGUGUGAAGAAGGUCUUCGGAUUGUAAAGCACUUUAAGUUGGGAGGAAGGGCAGUAAGUUAAUACCUUGCUGUUUUGACGUUACCAACAGAAUAAGCACCGGCUAACUUCGUG
rnacentral:rRNA from 1 species